AUUGAACGCUGGCGGCAUGCCUUACACAUGCAAGUCGAACGGCAGCGCGGGGGCAACCCUGGCGGCGAGUGGCGAACGGGUGAGUAAUAUAUCGGAACGUACCCAAGAGUGGGGGAUAACGUAGCGAAAGUUACGCUAAUACCGCAUACGAUCUAAGGAUGAAAGUGGGGGACCGCAAGGCCUCACGCUCCUGGAGCGGCCGAUAUCUGAUUAGCUAGUUGGUGGGGUAAAGCCUACCAAGGCAUCGAUCAGUAGCUGGCCUGAGAGGACGACCAGCCACACUGGGACUGAGACACGGCCCAGACUCCUACGGGAGGCAGCAGUGGGGAAUUUUGGACAAUGGGGGCAACCCUGAUCCAGCAAUGCCGCGUGAGUGAAGAAGG
rnacentral:rRNA from 1 species